rnacentral:rRNA from 1 species
ACCGUACUCCUACGGGAGGCAGCAGUGGGGAAUAUUGCGCAAUGGGGGAAACCCUGAUCCAGCAAUGCCGCGUGAGUGAAGAAGGCCUUCGGGUUGUAAAGCUCUUUUGUCAGGGAAGAAACGGUAGUAGCUAAUAUCUAUUACUAAUGACGGUACCUGAAGAAUAAGCACCGGCUAACUACGUGCCAGCAGCCGCGGUAAUACGUAGGGUGCAAGCGUUAAUCGGAAUUACUGGGCGUAAAGCGUGCGCAGGCGGUUGUGUAAGUCAGAUGUGAAAUCCCCGGGCUCAACCUGGGAAUUGCAUUUGAGACUGCACGGCUAGAGUGUGUCAGAGGGGGGUAGAAUUCCACGUGUAGCAGUGAAAUGCGUAGAUAUGUGGAGGAAUACCGAUGGCGAAGGCAGCCCCCUGGGAUAACACUGACGCUCAUGCACAAAAGCGUGGGGAGCAAACAGGAUUAGAUACCCCAGUAGUCCUUGAC